AGCAACCUGGCCCCUGAACUCUGGGAUAAGCCCGGGAAACUGGGUCUAAUACCGGAUACGACCGCCUCCGGCAUCGGGUGGUGGUGGAAAGUUUUUCGGUUGGGGAUGGGCUCGCGGCCUAUCAGCUUGUUGGUGGGGUAGUGGCCUACCAAGGCGACGACGGGUAGCCGGCCUGAGAGGGCGACCGGCCACACUGGGACUGAGACACGGCCCAGACUCCUACGGGAGGCAGCAGUGGGGAAUAUUGCGCAAUGGGCGGAAGCCUGACGCAGCGACGCCGCGUGGGGGAUGACGGCCUUCGGGUUGUAAACCUCUUUCAGCAGGGACGAAGUUGACGUGUACCUGCAGAAGAAGCGCCGGCUAACUACGUGCCAGCAGCCGCGGUAAUACGUAGGGCGCAAGCGUUGUCCGGAAUUAUUGGGCGUAAAGAGCUCGUAGGUGGCUGGUCGCGUCUGCCGUGAAAGCCCGCAGCUUAACUGCGGGUCUGCGGUGGAUACGGGCCGGCUAGAGGUAGGUAGGGGCAAGUGGAAUUCCUGGUGUAGCGGUGAAAUGCGCAGAUAUCAGGAGGAACACCGGUGGCGAAGGCGGCUUGCUGGGCCUUACCUGACGCUGAGGAGCGAAAGCUGGGGG
rnacentral:rRNA from 1 species